GGGGCUGUCCCUUAGGGGCGUGGCCAUAGAGGGCUCUGGGCAGUGAUCUGGGAGCAUCUUCCAGCCUUUAGAGGUGGUUAUGGAUGUUCAUCCUGAGUGUCUCCUUCACCCCACCAGACCUCAAAGGAGACCGGGAGACGGGGAUGCAAAGCUAGAGGAAAAACUAAAACUUAACGGCGAAAUCCUCACAAGCUAUUUGGACAGUUUCAUGCAGCAUGAAUCAUUAUAAGCUUGUCUUUCAUAGAAAAAAGGUGUUGGGGAAUCGUAAUGGCUCUGAUACCUGCAGGAAGGGGCAGUACCAUGGCCAUCCAACAGCAAGCAGCUUGGAAGAAGCCAAGGUGACAUGAUCGUGACCUUGAAAGACAGGUGCUGGAAUGGUUCCUGGCCAUCUUCUAGCCUCAUUAGCUUCUGUUGAGGACCAGUUUAGCCAUGAAGUCUUGACAACCUCCUGCUCCCCAGCAGUACCUGCUACUGAGCAGGAGCAGGAAGUCGAUUGGAAGAGCCGGCAAGGGCAUUCCCAGUGCCAGGCAGUUGUGCAGUUCAAUUCAAAUCAGUUCUACUCAACACAGAUAUCUUGGCUGCUCCCUCAUUCUCAGCAUGAUGCUAUCACUGUAGAUUCAACCAGGAUCUCAUAAUUGUGAACCUUUCCAUCAAAACCAUUGAUUAAAUGUGCAAAUAAGUGGGUUUACUU
rnacentral:lncRNA from 1 species